rnacentral:tRNA from 1 species
GCGGGCGUAGCUCAAUGGUAGAGCCCUGGCCUUCCAAGCCAGCCAUGAGGGUUCGAUCCCCUUCGCCCGCUCCA